ACCUACGCAAUUUAUGGAAAAUUCUACUUUGUCUCCUAGAUAUCCUUGAAGUUAGAAGCACUUAGGAAAACAUUUGCUUUGAGUGCAUUGUAUAGGACCACAUUAACUGGCAUAUAAGGCACGUAGAGAAGAAUGCAAGGAGAAGGGGAAUGAGUUGGAUAAAUCUGUGUAUCUAUGGAAACCACCUCACAUUGUUAAGCUGAGAAGUGGAGAAGAGUUUCAGAACAUUUCAGACGCUCAACGGCUUCUAACUGGCUGCAGUUUUACUACGUGUACCUGAAUCUCAUUGUCACCUUCAAUUAUAUCCAAGGGGAGGUCUGCAUGCAACACAGAAAGGAGAAAGUAGGGAAGAUCAGCAUCUCAGUAUCUUACCAGUAUUUGUCUAUUUAUCCACCACUUUGCAUGACACAGGAUUCCUGGGCAGCAGCUGAAGCUCACUGAUUCUAUUAUCCCAUUUUCUCACCACCUUCACUCUUGUUUUCUUCAAGAAAAUGUCCCAAGGUAUUUUUUUCUCUGAGUAGAUAAAUUUUAGUUUAGGUUUUUUUUUUUUUU
rnacentral:lncRNA from 1 species